rnacentral:rRNA from 1 species
UACGUAGGGUGCAAGCGUUGUUCGGAGUUACUGGGCGUAAAGGGCGCGUAGGCGGCGCAUCAAGUCAGGCGUGAAAGCCCUGGGCUCAACCCGGGAAUUGCGCUUGAGACUGGUGUGCUUGAGUACGGGAGAGGAUAGUGGAAUUCCCAGUGUAGAGGUGAAAUUCGUAGAUAUUGGGAAGAACACCGGUGGCGAAGGCGGCUCACUGGCUCAUUACUGACGCUCAUGCGCGACAGCGUGGGGAUCAAACAGG